UUAGGACGAACGCUGGCGGCGUGCCUAACACAUGCAAGUCGAACGGAGUUAUUGUUAGAUCCCUCGGGGUGACGAACUUUAACUAGUGGCGGACGGGUGAGUAACGCGUGAGUAACCUGCCUCUGAGAGGGGAAUAACGUUCUGAAAAGAUCGCUAAUACCGCAUAACAUAUCGAAGUCGCAUGGCUUUGAUAUCAAAGAUUUUAUCGCUCGGAGAUGGACUCGCGUCCGAUUAGCUUGUUGGCGGGGUAACGGCCCACCAAGGCGACGAUCGGUAGCCGGACUGAGAGGUUGAUCGGCCACAUUGGGACUGAGACACGGCCCAGACUCCUACGGGAGGCAGCAGUGGGGGAUAUUGCGCAAUGGGGGGCCAACCCUGACGCAGCAACGCCGCGUGAAGGAAGACGGUUUUCGGAUUGUAAACUUCUUUUGUCAGGGACGAAUUCUGACGGUACCUGACGAAUAAGCUCCGGCUAACUACGUGCCAGCCGCCGC
rnacentral:rRNA from 1 species